rnacentral:rRNA from 1 species
UGAGGAAUCUUGCGCAAUGGGGGAAACCCUGACGCAGCAACGCCGCGUGAGUGGGGAAGGUCUUCGGAUCGUAAAGCUCUGUCAGUUGGAAAGAAAUGUCUGAGAGUCAAUACCUUUCAGGCUUGACGGUACCAACAGAGGAAGCACCGGCUAACUCCGUGCCAGCAGCCGCGGUAAUACGGGGGGUGCAAGCGUUGUUCGGAAUUAUUGGGCGUAAAGAGCGUGUAGGCGGCCGGAUAUGUCAGAUGUGAAAGCCCCGGGCUUAACCCGGGAAGUGCAUUUGAAACUGUCCGGCUCGAGUAGGGGAGAGGGAAGUGGAAUUCCUGGUGUAGAGGUGAAAUUCGUAGAUAUCAGGAGGAACAUCGGUGGCGAAGGCGACUUCCUGGCCCUACACUGACGCUGAGACGCGAGAGCGUGGGUAGCAAACAG